UACAGAGGUCCCAAGCGUUGUUCGGAUUCACUGGGCGUAAAGGGUGCGUAGGUGGUGAGGUAAGUCGGAUGUGAAAUCUCCAAGCUCAACUUGGGAACUGCAUUGGAAACUACCUUGCUAGAGGAUUUGAGGGGGGAUUGGAAUACUUGGUGUAGCAGUGAAAUGCGUAGAUAUCAAGUGGAACACCAGUGGCGAAGGCGGGUAGCUGGGCCGACACUGACGCUGAGGCGCGAAAGCCAGGGGAGCGAACGGG
rnacentral:rRNA from 1 species